UAACCUGCCCAAGAGAUCGGGAUAACACCUGGAAACAGAUGCUAAUACCGGAUAAUAACAGAUGAUGCCUAUCAACUGUUUAAAAGAUGGUUCUGCUAUCACUCUUGGAUGGACCUGCGGUGCAUUAGCUAGUUGGUAGGGUAACGGCCUACCAAGGCGAUGAUGCAUAGCCGAGUUGAGAGACUGAUCGGCCACAUUGGGACUGAGACACGGCCCAAACUCCUACGGGAGGCAGCAGAA
rnacentral:rRNA from 1 species